AAGGGGGUUAAGGCACAUGUAAUAUGAUUGAAGGGGGCCUGUCGCCGGGAUUUUGUGUGUGGAGCUGGGGACGCGGGUUGCUGGAUGGCCGCUGGCGCAUCCGCGGUGCCCAGUCCCCGUGGCUCUGUGUGCUUUUGUUGUGUAGAGG